CCGUAACGAGCGCAACCCCUAUCCCUAGUUGCUAGCAGUUCGGCUGAGAACUCUAGGGAGACUGCCGGUGACAAACCGGAGGAAGGUGGGGAUGACGUCAGGUCAUCAUGGCCCUUACGGCCAGGGCUACACACGUGCUACAAUGGCGCGCACAGAGGGCUGCAAACCCGCGAGGGGGAGCUAAUCUCACAAAACGCGUCGUAGUCCGGAUCGGAGUCUGCAACUCGACUCCGUGAAGUCGGAAUCGCUAGUAAUCGUGAAUCAGAAUGUCACGGUGAAUACGUUCCCGGGCCUUGUACACACCGCCCGUCACACCAUGGGAGUGGAUUGCACCAGAAGUGGUUAGUCUAACCUUCGGGAGGACGAUCACCACGGUGUGGUUCAUGACUGGGGUGAAGUCGUAACAAGGUAACCGU
rnacentral:rRNA from 1 species